rnacentral:rRNA from 1 species
UACGAGUGCUCCAAGCGUUAUCCGGAAUCAUUGGGCGUAAAGGGUGUGUAGGUGGUUGUGUUAGUCUUGUGUUAAAUUCUUCGGCUUAACCGGGGACCUGCAUAGGAAACGGCACGACUAGAGGAUGCGAGAGGAACAUGGAACUCAUGGAGUAGGGGUGAAAUCCGUUGAUAUCAUGGGGAACAUCGAAAGCGAAGGCAAUGUUCUGGCGCACUCCUGACACUGAAACACGAAAGCGUAGGUAGCGAAUGGG